UUUUUUUAUUUUGUAAUAUUCUGAAAAUUUUAAUAAAUAUAAAAAAUAAAUAAAUAGGAGAAGGAAGAAUCUGAUCUGAAACUUCCGCUGUCUUGCAGGAUAUCUUUGGGAGAAGAAAAGACUCAGGGGUAAACCCUACACGAAUCCAGAGUGGAGUCCCUAAGAUGGUUUGAGGGUGCCUUGUACACCUCCUUCUGGCAACUCCUGCAGCCAAGCUGGUGGCAACUGCUUUCCUUUGGACCACAUCAGUGAGGCCAAAAGGGAGGUCUUGUCUGGUCAGCCUAGGACCACCAGACACACUGCCCAGGUUUGCACCCCAGGCAGGUCACUUCAGUGCCUCUAACACAACCAUUUGACUUCACCAUUGUCUAUCGAGACAGAUGGAUGCCAACAGCAAGUCACAAGGUUCAGUGUCCCAGGAAAUUAUAACUUUGUCUAAUUCAAGACUGAUGAGAAGUCAUAUUUUCUUUAAGAUGUAUUGAAAUUCUGGACUUUAUUGGUCUGUCUGCUUCACCUAUUUUUGUUAAUUUCUGUUCUUGCAGGAAUAUUGACUUCCAUGCCACUUUGGCAUAGCAGAUGGUGAGGAGUGUCUGGAUGCACAUUCUAUUACUGUUAAGUAACUGUGACAGCAGGAAGUAAAAGAUGUAUGGUCAGCUAUUCUACAGGGAGGCAAAAAAGGGCCAGUCAGCAGAUGGGAUCAGGCAGAAGCGAACCAAUGGUGGCUAGGCUGAUUCAGGUGGGGGGGUAGAAACAGCCUGAAUAACCCAAAUGCCAAAAUCGCAUUAUUUCAGAUGGUGAAAUUCCAAGCACACUAUAAAGACUUCCAAAGGAACCUCCCCAAGCCUCGGUGGGUGGGCAACAAACUCCAUGUGGCAAAUGGGAUUCCCAUACAAAGAGAGAGAUCUUGGGACAGAAACAACACACAAAAAAGCAACUACUUUGAGUGCACUGUUAACAGAUCACUGAAUGUUCAAGCAGUGAGGAAGUAAAAAGUAAACACAACAUCAAGUACCAUAAUUCAAUUUUCUUAAUCUAUCAUGUUUAGAAUAUACAGUGUGUAGAGUUCCAGUUGCCCCACUGCAAAACGUAUAUAUUGUGUAACUAAAAAGGGUAUGGAAAAGAGUAUCAAAAAUUAAUAUGAACAUAAGUGCAGAUCCUUCCUUAUAAGGAAAGAUUAAAAAGUUUGGUCCUUUUUAGGUUACACAUACACACAUGAGACUUAUAAAUAAGUGCUUUUAAGAAAGUGGAUAGAAAGAUAUUUCUUUCCCCCCAGUAGUAAAAAUUGGGGUCACUCAGAGACAUUGACUGAUACUUCACUCAAGCCAUAGUAAGGGAUCUGCUAUCAUAAGAUAAUAGCUAAUUCAGAAGGGUUUCUUUACCAAAGGUUACUGAGACAUUUAGUGGACGAUAGGUUUCGUUUCCCCUUGGCUAUCAACCACAAUGGCUAAAUAAACCUUCAGAAUCACUCACUGUCAGUUGUUCGGAAGAAACAACAACAUUGCCUUCCAGACCUGCUUGCAGGCUCCCCAGAUGCCUCUGUCUGGCAACUGUCUACAUGAGGUCCUGAAUGAGAUAGAUUUUUAUAAAGCAUGCAAGUGGUUGGCCAAGGUAAAGCCAAGACAUGAUGAGGGAAAGGAUAACUGGACAUCAGUGCAGUGGUAUUCUUUUAGCUUUCCUUCUUUGCACCCAAAUGUUUAAAAUGGAUAAAUUUUUCUAGGGUUCUGUAUGUACAUACAGAAUUAAAGGUGCCUGCUGUUCACAUUUUCACUGGGCCCUUGAAACUUUGGCAGAUGCCCUAUGCAUUGGAGUCCUCCCCCCACAAAAAAAUCCUGAUCAAUAUUUUUAUUCAAUAGUGAGCACUUUAUGUGGCACAAAUGCUUAAUAUGAUUGUCUAUUAUAAAAACUUGAUUUCUCAUGGUACUUUCAUCUGUGAAAAUCAAAUUUAUCUAUUAUUAAUCUGCAUUUUGAUAUGGAUAUAUAGUUUUCUUUCCAAAUACGUUUUAUACUAAUCUUUUUGAUCCUUUAAUAUGGGAGGCUGGCAAUUUGUAAUUUGGCUUUACAUAGAAACGAUCAAUUGUCAGGCACAUAGUGAAUUGUCUUUGUCCUUCAUUGUCACAGAGCAUUAUCUAAUAAAUUGAAGAUAGCUGAACUAAGACUCUUCCUCCUUCUGCCGGUAAAAGCACAUUAUUGCUUUCUCAGUGAAGGAUUUCUGCAUAGCUUUCUUUUAGUCUUACUGAAGCUGGCAUGCAAUGAGCAGUACAUAAUGAUUUUGUGGUUAGGGUGCCUUUGUCUGAUUUGAUGGGUGAAAUCCACAAGUAAUGCCUGCAAUUAAAACAGUGAAUGCC